rnacentral:lncRNA from 1 species
GGCGGGGGAGGAAAGCGGCCGGCGAGCGCUGGCUGACAUUUUCCUGCCCGGAAGGAUGCAUGGCCCGGGGUCUCCUGCACCUGAGGGUGGGCGGGAGGCGGCCCCGCGGGUUGUGUUGCUGGAAAAAGGGGUCUCGAUCCAGACCCCAAGAGAGGGUUCUUGGGUCUACUUCAGGGAAGAAUUGGAGGCGAGUCACAGAGCGCAGUGAAGGAAGCAAGUUUAUUGGAAUCUACUCCGUUAGAGAGUGCAAGUCCUCAGACUGCAGGAGGAGGAACUCCCGUCCUUCGGUAGUGUCACUACUUAGAGGCAGCUGUGAGGAGCUGUGAUUAAUCGUGGAAUGUGCUGAUGUGCCCACUAAAGAUGCCUGGUAAGCAGUGGCUCCUCUAACAAGUGGGCAGCUUGGAACUGGGAACGAGAGAGCCACCGAAACAGAAUGAGGGAGACAAAGAAGUGGGCAUCACCCUUAACUCCACAAGGGCUUCCCAAGGGCGCUGUACCGUACGCAGGCCCAGGACGAACUUUAUUUCUCGCCCCAGCAUCGCUGUCCUUGUCGGUGAGACCCUGGCUUUAGGGCAGACAGGACCACGUUUCAUAAGUUCAUGCUGUCCCAGCAGAGGAAUAACGCCAGAAAGUGUUCCAGUACAACCAGAGAAAGAGAGUCCAUGAGAAAUCUGCCCUUGUGAAGUUGGAAUCCCCUCAACCUCACCCCGCUGACUUGAAUGAAGCGACUGAGACGGGCUAUGAUGGAGCAGAUCCGGUUGCUCGACCUUCUCCCUUGCACCAACACAUGUAGUUAAUAGUUACUGGACAUGCAUAUUCAGUGGGUUCCAGGUACCAAACUUGUAUUGAAUGGUAUGUGCCAGACACCGUCUUGAGAUCUGGAGAAUAAAAAAAUAAAAAAAUAAAAACGAGACAUCCAGAGCACAGUA